rnacentral:rRNA from 1 species
UACGGGGGGGGCAAGCGUUGUUCGGAAUUACUGGGCGUAAAGGGCUCGUAGGUGGCCAACUAAGUCGGACGUGAAAUCCCUCGGCUUAACCGGGGAACUGCGUCUGAUACUGGAUGGCUUGAGUUUGGGAGAGGGAUGCGGAAUUCCAGGUGUAGCGGUGAAAUGCGUAGAUAUCUGGAGGAACACCGGUGGCGAAGGCGGCAUCCUGGACCAACACUGACGCUGAGUGAGCGAAAGCGUGGGGAGCAAACAGG